rnacentral:rRNA from 1 species
CCUACGGGAGGCAGCAGUGGGGAAUAUUGCGCAAUGGGCGCAAGCCUGACGCAGCAACGCCGCGUGAAGGAAGAAGGUUUCGGGUUGUAAACUUCUUUUCUCAGGGACGAAGCAAGUAACGUUACUUGAGGAAUAAGCCCCGGCUAACUACGUCCCAGCAGCCCCGGUAAUACGUAGGGGGCAAGCUUUAUCCGGAUUUACUGGGUGUAAAGGGUGUGUAGGCGGGGAAGCAAGUCAGUUGUGAAAUCCACGGGCUCAACCGGUGGCCUGCAUUUAAAACUGUGUUUCUUGAGUACUGGAGAGGCAGACGGAAUUCCUAGUGUAGCGGUGAAAUGCGUAGAUAUUAGGAGGAACACCAGUGGCGAAGGCGAUCUGCUGGACAGCAACUGACGUUGAGGCACGAAAGCGUGGGGAGCAAACAGGAUUAGAUACCCCUGUAGUC